UUUAUGGAGAGUUUGAUCCUGGCUCAGGAUGAACGCUGGCGGCGUGCCUAAUACAUGCAAGUCGAGCGAACGGAUGAGAAGCUUGCUUCUCUGAUGUUAGCGGCGGACGGGUGAGUAACACGUGGAUAACCUACCUAUAAGACUGGGAUAACUUCGGGAAACCGGAGCUAAUACCGGAUAAUAUUUUGAACCGCAUGGUUCAAAAGUGAAAGACGGUCUUGCUGUCACUUAUAGAUGGAUCCGCGCUGCAUUAGCUGGUUGGUAAGGUAACGGCUUACCAAGGCAACGAUGCAUAGCCGACCUGAGAGGGUGAUCGGCCACACUGGAACUGAGACACGGUCCAGACUCCUACGGGAGGCAGCAGUAGGGAAUCUUCCGCAAUGGGCGAAAGCCU
rnacentral:rRNA from 1 species